rnacentral:rRNA from 1 species
ACGGGAGGCAGCAGUGGGGAAUAUUGCGCAAUGGGGGGAACCCUGACGCAGCGACGCCGCGUGCGGGACGGAGGCCCUCGGGCCGUAAACCGCUUUCAGCGGGGAAGACCUAAGACGGUACCCGCAGAAGAAGCCCCGGCUAACUACGUGCCAGCAGCCGCGGUAAUACGUAGGGGGCGAGCGUUAUCCGGAUUUACUGGGUGUAAAGGGAGCGUAGACGGCAAAGCAAGUCUGAAGUGAAAUCCCGGGGCUCAACCCCGGAACUGCUUUGGAAACUGUUUAGCUAGAGUGCAGGAGAGGUAAGCGGAAUUCCUAGUGUAGCGGUGAAAUGCGUAGAUAUUAGGAGGAACACCAGUGGCGAAGGCGGCUUACUGGACUGUAACUGACGUUGAGGCUCGAAAGCGUGGGGAGCAAACAGGAUUAGAUACCCUGGUA